rnacentral:rRNA from 1 species
GAUGAACGCUGGCGGCGUGCCUAAUACAUGCAAGUCGAGCGAACAGAUAAGGAGCUUGCUCCUUUGACGUUAGCGGCGGACGGGUGAGUAACACGUGGGUAACUUACCUAUAAGACUGGAAUAACUCCGGGAAACCGGGGCUAAUGCCGGAUAACAUGUUGAACCGCAUGGUUCUACAGUGAAAGGCGGUUUUGCUGUCACUUAUAGAUGGACCCGCGCCGUAUUAGCUAGUUGGUGAGGUAACGGCUCACCAAGGCAACGAUACGUAGCCGACCUGAGAGGGUGAUCGGCCACACUGGAACUGAGACACGGUCCAGACUCCUACGGGAGGCAGCAGUAGGGAAUCUUCCGCAAUGGGCGAAAGCCUGACGGAGCAACGCCGCGUGAGUGAUGAAGGUCUUCGGAUCGUAAAACUCUGUUAUUAGGGAAGAACAAAUGCGUAAGUAACUGUGCGCGUCUUGACGGUACCUAAUCAGAAAGCCACGGCUAACUACGUG